CAGUCGCCGCGGUAAUACGAAGGGGGCUAGCGUUGCUCGGAAUUACUGGGCGUAAAGCGUGCGCAGGCGGUGUUGUAAGACUGAUGUGAAAUCCCCGGGCUCAACCUGGGAACUGCAUUGGUGACUGCAACGCUGGAGUGCGGCAGAGGGGGAUGGAAUUCCGCGUGUAGCAGUGAAAUGCGUAGAUAUGCGGAGGAACACCGAUGGCGAAGGCAAUCCCCUGGGCCUGCACUGACGCUCAUGCACGAAAGCGUGGGGAGCGAACAGGAUUAGAUACCCGAGUAGUCCCUGUCUCUUAUAC
rnacentral:rRNA from 1 species